CGUGAAUGAAAGAACGGAAAAGACGCGAUUGGAUGUCCAUGCUUCGUUUUAUCUAUAAAAAUCUUGCAUUUGUUUUAGUUUCUGACCCCAUCUGUGACCCAUCAGUUGAGACUUUCCACACAGAAUAGAUGAAAAGUCAAAGGAUGGCCUCCUGGGUGACAGGUCAGUGGAUCAGUUGGGUGUUUGGCACAACCUGACCAAUGAAGCAGGAGAUUUUGAGCAGGUCUGGUUCUGCUAGACAUCAGCAGUGACCUUUUUUCCUCUCAAAGUCAGCUGUCAACCACCCAGAGGUCAUAGUCUGUAAUUUGAGUGCUGACCAUCACCUCUCUGGUCCAAGGCUUUGGGUUGCACAGACAUUUCCGUCUCCCACCUUCUGCUUCAAACCCCUAGAAACAUCCAUAUGGGGUCUUGACUCUGGGCCCGUGACUCAUGACUCGCCAAGCAACAGAUGGACGCCUCCUAGAAUAUACAAUAACAGCUUCGACUCACUAUAGUGAACAUAACAUGUCUUAUUCACCCUGAACCUAGGGUCAGAUAUGGUACGUCUAGCACAGAGUG